rnacentral:rRNA from 1 species
UAGAGGAUGAGAGAGGUAGCUAGAAUUCCUUGUGUAGGAGUGAAAUCCGUAGAUAUAAGGAGGAAUACCGAUGGCGUAGGCAGGCUACUGGCUCAUUCCUGCCACUAAGGCACGAAAGCGUGGGGAGCGACCGGGAUUAGAUACCACGUUAGUCCACGCCGUAAACGAUGGAUGCUAGCUGUUAUGAGUAUCGAUCCUCGUAGUAGCGAAGCUAACGCGUUAAGCAUCCCGCCUGUGGAGUCCGAGCGCAAGCUUAAACCAUAAAGGAAUAGACGGGGACCCGCACAAGCGGUGGAGCGUGUUCUUUAAUUCGAUGGUAAGCGAAGAUCCUUACCAAGGUUGGACAUCCUGCGAAGGUCUCCGAAAGGAGACUGUGCCUUGUGAGCGCAGUGACAGGUGUUGCACGGCCGUCGUCAGCUCGUGUCGUGAGAUGUUUGGUUAAGUCCAUCAACGAGCGCAACCCUUGUGAUUAGUUGAAUUUUUCUAAUCAGACUGCCCCGGCAACGGGGAGGAAGGAGGGGAUGAUGUCAGGUCAGUAUUACCCUUACACCUUGGGCUAGAAACACGCUACAAUGGCCAGUACAAAGGGCUGCCAAGGAGCAAUCCGGAGCAAAUCCCAUCAAAGCUGGUCUCAGUUCGGAUAGCAGGCUGAAACUCGCCUGCUUGAAGUUGGAAUCGCUAGUAACGGUAGGUCAGCACACUACCGUGAAUACGUUCCCGGGUCUUGUACACACCGCCCGUCAAACCAUGAAAGUCGCCAAUACCUGACGU